GGAGCUUCCUUCCGGCAGGCGUGGCUGGGCCGACGCCGCCAAGUGGUGCAAGGAUUGCCUUAUUUGACAGUUUUUCUUGAAGAAAUGAUAAUCUUGAAUAAUUUUAAUUAACUUCAGCAUACUAAUGACUGUGGGGUUUUUGGUGCCUCUUCAAUUUCGACUCAUUCACCCUAAUCCUGGCCAGUGCAGAAGCAGAACAGACUGAGGAUGAAGCUUGUUAAUGAGGCAAGGAGUCAUCUUUCACCUGAAAUGGAAAGGAUUAAAUCCCAAGCCCAGAGAAGCCCCAUCCUGCUCACAUCCAACAGUGUCUGUACAACUACCUGCUUUUGGUGACUCCCUGCUACUGUGGAGCUAAGAGAGAGAGGACGCUGUAGUUUGAUGCCAAGGGCUAAGAUAUGGCAGCCUGCAAGCUCCCACCUGGGAAAGAACAACAGCAGAGUAUUCCCAUGAGAGGAGAGAAAAGCAGGGCCUCCCUGGUGGCGCAAGGGGUUGAGACACAGCCUAUGAAGCUGGCCACAGCCACUGCAGCAUGAGUUCAAUCCGUGGCCAGGGAGCAACCUACAUGGCGCAGCAGACCUCUCCUGUCACGCCCGCUGCUCCCCUCAGCAGUAUGUUUCAUCAGUCUGCCUGUUCUGUUCCCCACUCCAUCUCUGAUAAAUCCUCUCACCACCACCACCCCCCCUCCCCGCACCUCUGGCCUAUACCCCAGCUCUUGUAUGCAUAAAAAUAAAAUAAAUCUUUAAAAACAGAGGAAAUGAGAACAUUGAUGAUAGCUGACCCAAGGAAAAUGCAAAACCUUAGUAUACACCUCAGUCCUAGUUAAACCACAGUAAGAUCUUGAUUCAUCAUCAUGAUCAAUAAAAACCAAGGCUGGUCUCAUCUGACCACAUGAUCUUGGAUACCGCAAUCCUAAGGCACUAGUAAU